rnacentral:lncRNA from 1 species
GCUUACUUAUGCCAUAGCGUUAGGCUUAUUGUUUUGGGGCAUACCUCUAUAUUCUCUUUGUUGUGGAUCAUAUCUCUUUGUUGUGGAUCAUAUCUCUUUGUUGUGGACCAUAUCUCUUUGUUUUGGUCGUUACUUGUUGUUGGGUGUUAGCGAGAUUAAGCGCAGUAGUUAGUUCCAUAUUCAACAGGCCCGGCCCUACUCGCCAUGCCAUACAGCUCGACAAAGUAUCAAGUGGCUUCUGCCGUCAGGAAACAAAGCAGUGAGAUUAGAGUUGGGUUACUGAAGCAAAGCAUGUGAGUUUAGAGUAGAGAGUUAGAGAUAGCGGUGCCUAGCUGAGUUCAACAAGAGGUUGUGCGAAAGAACUCCCUUUAGCCGAAAACUGGAACAAGUAAACAAUCAAAGUAAUAGGUUUUGAGGUUACCUUAUUCUAUUGUAAGAACGCUGCUAUCUAUAUGAUUUUCCGUAUUGGCAAGGGAGUCGUAGAAACUUAUCUAACACGGUGCCUAUGCCUCAGAGUCCGGAAGAAGCAUUCAGGUUACAUGAAACCAUUAAGGGUACACUCAAUUCCAUUCUUUCUUUUGCCAAAACAUUUGAACAAGCAGGGGAACAGAUUUGUUUUAGAGUUAAGUAACCUGUUUAGAAGGUUGUUACUCCAUUGUAUCAUAUGCUGGAUAGAAGCAAGCUUAGGUGAACUAAACUCCUAAUGCCGGGUGGAUCAAAAGCCAUAGCUAGCUUGUUUGUGCUAACGCUUUGGCAAGGAAACGAAGCAAUGUUCUGGUUGGUUACAAUCUUCUUUCUAUAUGUGUUUUCUAGUCUUAGUUCAAUUCAAGUAAACAAGCAAAUCUAUUCAAUAAGCCUAUAAGCACAGGGCAAUAAAAGAAGUCAGUACUUUAGUCUAGCCUUCAAUGUGCCUCAACUCAAUUCGGCGGUAUAGCUUAGAGUUUUGUAUAGCUUAGAGUUGUUUUGUUCCUAUCUUUUAGUUGCAAGAGAGAUUCUAUCUAAUAUUCAAUAAGUAAGGAGUUGUGCAAACUUCAUCUUGUUGUUCGGGCACCGCUAUCACUCCCAGAGAUCAUAGUUCACCCCUUAUUAAGGACAGAAACGGAGAUCAUAGUUCACCCCUUAUUAAAGUCAAGACAGAAACAUAGAUCAUAGCCCCUUUUGCUUACGUGAGUUUGGUAGAACCAAGGCCUCCAGCCUCCAGAUGCCCACCAUGAUUGAAGAAUGCAUAAUAGUCCCAGUACGCAGUGAUAUACCAUAUAAUAGAAGCACCUAAGUGAUAUACCAUAUAAUAGAAGCACCUAUAUCCAAUAUAUAUAUAACUAUAGAGAUCUAAAUGGAGAUGUUUAUCUUAUUCUAUUUUCAUUAAUGAGAAUCAUUCUCUUUUUUUUCAUUAAUUAGAAUCACACACAACCCAUGGGCACCUCUUUCUAUACGGAUCUGAUUGACAACCCAAUCCGUAGCAAGGAAAGACUCUGUUAAUUCACAAACUAGAGGAGUAGCCGACAGGACGGAGGCAGCUACCCGACUCGUACGAGGAUCCCCUGUCAGAAUGAGGACUUAGUUUCUAGUAUGAGAGUCUAGCUUCUAAUCCGGCAGGGACUAUUUUCAACCAUAGAAUAGAGGCCCUUCCCUAGCAACAUCUUAGUAAUUAGCACUUUUCUCGAUUGAUACAAUGAACCGAUUCUCUUCUCUUUAACAGCUUUUUUCUCAUCUCUUUCACUGCUUUUUUUCUAUUCUCUUUAAUGCUUUUUGAAGGGCCUAGCAAUAGUGCAAGUAUAAGCUUCUGGGUGCAGUGGUGGCUACCGACAACAGCCUUACUGAUACGCUAGAACAAGGUGGGUUCGGUCACUCACGCUAUAAUUUCGCCGUCAUUUUCAAUAUCUCAGCCCCGUUCGUAAGGGCCCCUCUCUGAAAAGGAAGGAAAGUCACUUCCACUUUCAUGACCAAUAAGGUAAUUACAAAUCUGGUCCGAUGGCUCUUCUCCACAAACCACAAGGAUAUCGGUACUCUCUAUUUUCUCUUCGGUGCCAUUGCAGGAGUGAUGGGCACAUGCUUUUCCGUACUGAUUCGUAUGGAAUUAGCUCGACCCGGCGAUCAAAUUCUUGGUGGUAAUUAUCAACUUUAUAAUGUGUUAAUAACGGCUCACGCUUCUUUAAUGAUCUUUUUUAUGGUUAUGCCGGCGAUGAUAGGUGGAUCUGGAAAUUGGUUUGUACCGAUUCUUAUAGGUGCACCUGACAUGGCAUUUCCACGAUUAAAUAAUAUAUCAUUCUGGUUGUUGCCACCAAGUCUCUUGCUCCUAUUAAGCUCAGCCCUAGUAGAAGUGGGUACCGGCACUGGGUGGACGGUCUAUCCGCCCUUAAGUGGUAUUACCAGCCAUUCUGGAGGAGCAGUUGAUUCAGCAAUUUCUAGUCUUCAUCUCUCAGGUGUUUCAUCAAUUUUAGGAUCUAUCAAUUUUAUAACCACUAUCUUUAACAUGCGUGGACCUGGAAUGACUAUGCAUAGAUCACCCCUUUUUGUGUGGUCCGUUCUAGUUACAGCCUUCCUACUUUUAUUAUCACUUCCGGUACUGGCAGGGGCAAUAACAAUGUUAUUAACCGAUCGAAACUUUAAUACAACCUUUUCUGAUCCUGCUGGAGGGGGAGACCCUAUAUUAUACCAGCAUCUCUUUCGGUUCUUCGGUUUUCAAAGGCCCUUUUCUGAUUCCAAUCGGAAUACGCAUUGCGCUAUAUGCUGGGACUGUCUGCUUAAUGGUACUCCUACUAUGUUCAUAAGUGGUUUUCUAGUCAAACCCCGAUCUAGUCAAAAUGGAGUAUCUAAGACACAAUCAGCAGGUAACCAACGACAUAAAAGCAGUCUAGUAGGAACCUCAGAGACUACAUGCGCAACAACUUAUCCUAAAUCCUUCUGUGAGUGGCUAGCAGGAAUUCUCGAUGGUGCUGGAAGUAUUCAAGUUAGUAAACAAGGAUCUACUUCUCUGGAAAUUACUAUGGGACUUGCAGAUCUACGACUACUACGAUAUAUCCAACAUAUGCUUGGUGGAAGUAUCAAAAUUCGAGCAGGUGCUAAAGCUUAUCGUUAUCGACUACAUAAUCAACUUGGUAUGAUUCAACUAAUCAAUAGUCUUAAUGGUAAUAUUCGACAUUCAGCACGACUACUUCAACUACAUCGUGUCUGUCAAGUACUUGAUAUCCCUUUCAUUCUACCUAUUACACUAGAUGCUCAAUCCAAUUGGUUUGCAGGAUUCUUUGAUGCUGAUGGUACCAUUGGUCUCGCUAUGAAGCAUCGACUACCUCAACUAAGUAUUCGAGUCAAUAAUAAACUUCUACAAGAUUGUGAGUCUUAUAAGGUCGUAUUUGGAGGAAAUAUCUACUUUGAUAGUAGUCAAAAUGGUCACUAUCAAUGGUCUGUACAAAGUCGAAAAGAUGUUAUCAUGAUGCUAGAUUACUUUAAAUCAAGUACUUUCCGAAGUAAUAAAUCACUACGAUUCUUCCUUAUUGAGGAAUAUUACAGUCUUUACGAUCUCAAAGCAUUUCAACCUGACAGUAUUCACCAUAAAGCAUGGCUAGCUUUCCUAGACAAAUGGAAUAAGUUGAUGAUAUAGUCCACCUUUCUUCUAUUCAUCCGCGAUGAUAUAGUCUACCUUUCUUCUAUUCAUCCGCUUAUAGUAGUAGAAGAGAGAAGCACCCUGAAGUUUACAUCCUAAUUCUGCCUGGAUCCGGUAUCAUAAGUCAUAUCGUUUCUACUUUUUCGAAAAAACCGGUCUUCGGGUAUCUAGGCAUGGUUUAUGCCAUGAUCAGUAUAGGUGUUCUUGGAUUUCUUGUUUGGGC